UACGUAGGAGACGAGCGUUAUCCGGAUUUAUUGGGCGUAAAGCGGACGCAGGCGGCUUUCCAAGUCGGAUGUAAAAUCUCCCGGCUUAACUGGGAGGGAUCGUCCGAUACUGUUGGGCUAGAGUGCAGCAAAGGAAAGCGGAAUUCCCGGUGUAGUGGUGAAAUACGUAGAUAUCGGGAGGAACACCAGUGGCGAAAGCGGCUUUCUGGGCUGUUACUGACGCUGAGGUCCGAAAGCGUGGGGAG
rnacentral:rRNA from 1 species